UUUCCGUAGGUGAACCUGCGGAAGGAUCAUUACUGAAUAACCGAGCUGCGAGGCCUGACGCCCCACCCAAAGGUCGCGACCGCCGGAGUGUCCUCACACACUUCAAUGCUACCCCCCUGUGCACCACCGCGUGCGUCCCCCUUUGGCCUGUGCGGGGGGGGGCUUACGUCUCCACACCACCUUAGUUUGCAGUGCAGAAUGUAUAUUAUGUUUUAGAAAUUACACCAUCAAAACACCUUUCUCCAACGGAUCUCAUGGCUCUCGCAUCGAGGAAGAACG
rnacentral:misc_RNA from 1 species